rnacentral:rRNA from 1 species
UAGGGAAUCUUCCGCAAUGGGCGAAAGCCUGACGGAGCAACGCCGCGUGAGUGAUGAAGGUCUUCGGAUCGUAAAACUCUGUUAUCAGGGAAGAACAAAUGUGUAAGUAACUAUGCACGUCUUGACGGUACCUAAUCAGAAAGCCACGGCUAACUACGUGCCAGCAGCCGCGGUAAUACGUAGGUGGCAAGCGUUAUCCGGAAUUAUUGGGCGUAAAGCGCGCGUAGGCGGUUUUUUAAGUCUGAUGUGAAAGCCCACGGCUCAACCGUGGAGGGUCAUUGGAAACUGGAAAACUUGAGUGCAGAAGAGGAAAGUGGAAUUCCAUGUGUAGCGGUGAAAUGCGCAAAGAUAUGGAGGAACACCAGUGGCGAAGGCGACUUUCUGGUCUGUAACUGACGCUGAUGUGCGAAAGCGUGGGGAUCAAACAGG